UGGGGAAUAUUGCACAAUGGAGGGAACUCUGAUGCAGCGACGCCGCGUGAGUGAUGAAGGAAUUCGUUUCGUAAAACUCUGUUCUAUGGGAAGAAAAGGACUGUACCAUAGGAGAAAGCUCCGGCUAAAUACGUGCCAGCAGCCGCGGUAAUACGUAUGGAGCGAGCGUUGUCCGGAAUUAUUGGGCGUAAAGGGUGCGCAGGCGGCUUUACAAGUUGGAUGUGAAAUAUUGUGGCUCAACCACAAACGUGCAUCCAAAACUGCAAAGCUUGAGGUAAGGAGAGGUAAGGGGAAUUCCUGGUGUAGCGGUGGAAUGCGUAGAUAUCAGGAGGAAUACCGGUGGCGAAGGCGACUUACUGGACUUAAACUGACGCUCAGGCACGAAAGCGUGGGGAGCAAACAGG
rnacentral:rRNA from 1 species